GGAGUGGAAAAUCAUAGCUUGGAACUCCACUUAGGACAAACAGCACUUUCCCCUCGGUGUGCGGAGUGUGAGAGGGGGAUUCAUCUUGAAUUCCUCCCUGCUUCCUGUCUUUGUCAUCACGCUGGAGGCAGCAUCGAGGAGGAUGGCUGGGAUCAAGGAAAACACGGCGUGUGCCAUUCUGGAGAGGAAAUGGGCAAGACACUGGCCAAGUCACACUGGCUGUAGAACUUUGGAGCCAUCUUGCUGUUUUGGAAGUUCCUCAACUGUUGAGCAGAGACAAUCACACCCACCCAUAGGGGGCUGAGAAAGAAGGGUAGCACGAAGUAGGCACGGGUCCAGCAGACUGGAAUCAUGCUGUUGCUGAGUAUUGUUUAUGGACUGCACGCAGUUCUGGAGGAAGCCAUUCGUGUUACACACUAGAUGCCUGGCUGUGUUUGCCCUCAUCCGCAUGUUGUGUGUACCCACUGGUGCGGCUCUUCUCAGGUGAGUGUUGCCAGAGAAGAGUCCCAGCCUCUCUUUGGGACUCUCUCGGCUUUAGUGAAUGGUACCAUAAGCAGAAGUCAGCUUCCGGCAGUAAGAAAAUAGCAUCCACUGGUGUGUUUAUUCUCUCACUCACUCACUAUUUGAACAACUAAAUACUUGUUAGCUGUGGAGCCAGAUACUGAGAAUUUUGAGGAACUCAAGGAACAAUGAAAGAGUAAGUAGUCAGAAAGCAAAAUAAACUUAA